rnacentral:lncRNA from 1 species
AUGUAUAGGUUUGAGUAUCCAGGAUAUAGCGAGUUUUUAAUUACAGAAAACGUUACCUUUAUAUACUUAGUUCUUUCCUUUGUAUUCUGUUUCUGCUGUCAAAAUAACGAAGGUCUUCUUUUCCCCAACAUCAUAAAAAUUCCAGGAAGAAAAAUCCAUUUUUGUAUCUGCUUUUUCUCCAUAGAAACUCAUUCCAGAAAUCUUUCUAACUCAGAUUUCCCCUUACCCUUUCCAUUAAGAUUCCUCUCCUCCCCCCCCCCCCUCCUCCUCCUCCUCCUCCUCCUCCUCCUCCUCCUCCUCCUCCUCCUCCUCCUUCUUCUUCUUCUUCUUCUUCUUCUUCUUCUUCUUCUUCUUCUUCUUCUUCCUCCUCCUCCUCCUCCUUCUCCUCCUCCUCCUCUUUUUAAGAUUUUAUUUAUUUAUUUGAGAGAGAGAUAGAACUCAGGCAUGCACAAGGAGGGGGAGAGGAAGGAAAGGCAGAGGGAGAAGCAGACUCUCCACUGAGCAGGGAGCCUGAUGCAGGGCUCCAUCCCAGGACCCUGAGAUCAUGACCUGAGCUGAAAGCAGAUGCUCAACCUACUGAGCCACCCAGGCGCCCCUCCAUUGCAGAUUUUUGAUCCAAUUAAGCAACAAUUCCUUGAUGAUGAAUCCACUGGAAACUUUUCAGUUCUCAUUUCAAUCACAGAUUUAUUUCUUUAUCCAACAAAUAUUUCCAGUAUAUGCACAUGUGUUAAGCACAGUUCUAGGCCUCGGGCAUACACUGGCUGCAGAUAGGGGUGGGAGGAUGUACAAGAUAAGAAAAAGUUGGGAGGCAAUGAGAUCUCAUGGGGCUUUGUUGGCUGUAGAGAGUAAGGAGUUUGGAAUUUAUUUUUAACGCAAUGGAGAAAUAGAGGGUUUAAAGCAGAGGAGAAGCGUGACUUGAUUUAUUCUCUAACCAUCCGUCUGGGCUGCUUGGUGAAUUAUGAGCAUACAAAGGGGUGAGAGGGAAGCAGCCAAGCCAGUGAGGAACCUCUAUGAAACCCUUGCUUCUUUGUGAAACUCCCUUGCCUCUCUCAUCCUUUUUGUUCACUCCUCCUUUCAGACUCUCCUGCUCUGCUUAUUUCUGAAGUGAGUGUUCAGAGUGAGUGCUCCACUGGGCUCUGGGUGUGUCUGCUCUCACUCCAUGCACUGUCCGCUGUCCGCAUCUUCCUCAUCUCUUUCACUUCACCUGGCCGCAUGCUGGUGCCUCCCAAAUCAGCUUCUCCAUGGGAAACUACAUGGUCAUCAGAAAGAAAGAGCCCCCACCAGGGUGAUCCUCCCCUGGGGUGAUCCUCCUUACCAGCUACAAGCAAGAGAAAACACAACCCAAGCAAAAUAAAAGAGAGACAUACUGGUGCAUGUAACCAACAACAUAAAGACUUAGAACUAGCUUCAGGAAUGACAAAAUUCAGAGGCUCAAAUGAUGUAUCACUAGGACUCUGUCCCUUUUUUCCAUUUGUUAUCUCCACUUUCUUCUAGAUGGCUCCAUUCUCAGGCUGACUGUCUUCAAUGGCGGAGAGUUAGCUAUACGCAUCCCUGGGAUCAGUGUCCCAGUUGAGUUAUCUGCUUUUAAGCAGAAGAGUCCUUCUCAUUCCCUGAAGUCCCAGGGUCAGUUCUCAUUGGCCCAGGCUGGGUCACAUGCCCACUCCUGAACAGAUCACUAUGAUUCAGAUUAGCUAACCUUGGGGCUAGGGGAUGGGGACAGCCUCAACCGAACAACAAGGACUAAGGGGGUCCUCCAAAGGGAUAUUGGGAUUGACCUACUAAAGAAGGGAAGCUAAAUGGUAAGCAGGUAAAACAACACAGGUCACCUACAUCCCGGUUGCACAAAUGAGGAAACCAAGACUCAGAGAGGGAAAGGCUUGCCUGAGUCCCUCACUGAAUCAGCAACAACCUCAAGACCAGUGCCCUACCCCCUCCCUGUCUUACCUUCACACUGCCUGGGUCAGGGUUUUCUCUAAAGAAACUGGAAGUGGCCAAACUCUGGCUAACACACUGGGUUCUCCCUUACACUCCAUGUAAGGACCUUGUUCUGGUCUUAUUGGCAGUAAAUCGCCAUCAGGAGAGUAUUGUCUUUUCUGAAAACUCUAGGGAGGCUUGCCUCUAAAUAACAUCAAGCCCCUAAUAAAGGACUCUCUAAUGCAGAGAGUUCAGACACCCUGAUGGGAAGAGUGCUAUUUGAGUGCCAAGAGGACUCCUGGUAGCUGACUACUCUGAUUCCAGUUAGGCCACCCUUGGUCACUGCCCAGCUGCUGGCAAAGAAGUGCUAACUCAGUCCAUUCCCUCCAGGAUCCUUCAAUUCUAUACACAAUUUAUUGAGUGCCAACUUCAUAUGGUCAAUGUGAUAGGUGCCAAGGAAUACAUGGAAGGGUAAACCUUACACGGGUCCCUGUUGUUCGUAGGAUCAAAUCCUUAGCCUGGCAUUCAAGAUCCUUUAUAAUUUAGGCACAAUCUAGGCUCCUCUCCUGCCAGCUCUCCCCCCUACUCCAUGUCCCCCUGCCCAACAUCAACAAGUGAAACCCAUUUUACGAACAUGCUGUCUUAACUUGCACCUCCAUGUUUUUGCCCCUCUCCUUGCCACUUGCCACCUGUGAGCCACUUACUCAUUCUUUAGAGCCUACUACAAAUGCCCAUUCAUUUAUUCAUUCAUUCAUUCAUCCAUCCGUUCUUUGAUUAAUUUAAUAAACUUAAAUGAACAUAAACAUAACCCCGAGCAGGUCAUGUGUUGAGUUUUAGGGUCACUGAGAAGGUCCAGACAGGAACAUGUUUCUGAAGAUGUUAGCAGUCUGGGGUUGGGGGGAGAAGAACAUGCCCACAUAAGUUGGAUUACAGAAUACCAUGUGCUCAAAAGCCCUGGAGUGGGGACAGAGCCAGCCUGUGGGGACAGGGAAGGCUUGUUGGACAAGUCCUGGAGUUACGUCUGAUGAAAGGGCAUGCCAGGACGCUCUCUCUGACCACCCUGGAUGAGGUAGUUGCCCUUCACACUCUCUUCCUUCCUAGCCUUUAUAAUUAAAUUUUUUGGUAUUUAUUUCCUUAUUCCUUGUUUAUUAUUCAUUUUCCACACUAAAACCUUAGCUUCAUGAGGACAGCUUCUUGUUCCCUAUUUUUCAAGUUCCUGGCACAUAACUGGCAUUCAGUAAAGAAUGUUUUAACAAGAGUCAUCUGGGUGGCUCAGUGGUUGAGCGUCUACCUUUGGCUCAGGUUGUGAUCCCAGAGUCCUGGGAUCCCAGGGGUCUCUGCAGGGAGCCUGCUUCUUCCUCUGCCUAUGUCUCUGCCUCCUCUGUGUGUGUCUCUCAUGAGUAAAUAAAUAAAAUCUUAAAAAAAAAUAAAAGAAUGUUUUAACGAAUGCCUACGUGCAUGAAUGCAUUCAGCCCAGAGUGAAUGAACACAAGCUGCCUGGCCGUGUCUUUCUGGCUGAUAGGGUGCAAGGGCAGCUUCCCUCCAUCACCACACAGGAGAUAGUCAGCAUAUUUAUCAGAAGAAAGAACAGACAAUGUGGGGAGCAGUCUUAGAGGUGCACAAGGAGAGACCCAAAGGCCAGAGCAAUCAGAGAAGUCUUCCUGGAGGCAGAAGACAGGCCCUGAAGGAUGAGGAGAGUCAGGACAAGCAGAGCUGGAAGCAGAUGAGCCCAAGCUGUUUGAGGACCUGCUUCCUCUUCCCUUUUUGAGUAGAGACUCUUCAUUCCCUGUCUCCCCUCCACAGAGCAGCAUGGUCCAGACGGACACUGUCCAGGGACAGUUGAG